UGUAAACUCACCCAAAACAUCAGUCGUUUCUUGAAGAAAGCAGCUGUCAUAAGUUAUAAAGUUAAUUAUUAAUUCUUAAUUAUAAAUUUCUUAGGAUUUAUUUAAUGAACUAAUUCGUGUGUCAAUCAAAUUGCCAUUAAAAUUAUUAAAAUAAGAUUCGGAUGAACAUCAGUAGCCAGAGUGCUGUCAACAAUCUAACCUUAUGUUGUUUGUCCAUAAUAAUAAAUUUAAUUAAUUAAAAAUAUAACAGAAAUGUGCAAGAAAAAAAUAAUAAUUCAGGAGAUCAAUGGAUAUUUUUUUUAAGUUGACGUCCAUUUGUACAUUGACCACCAAAUCGAAGGAAUUUUUUACUAAGAGACAAGAGAAAAGCUUCAUCAACACAUCAUUCCAUCAACAGAACAAAAAAGAUGUACAGAAUGUACAGAAUUCGUUUAUAUCUAUAUAAUAAAUCUAUAUAUCUGGACAUCGA